rnacentral:lncRNA from 1 species
UGAAUGUUAGCUAAGAGAAGGCUUUAUACAGAACGUUGAGAACAUGGAGAGGCAAUCAUCAUCUCCUGCCAUGCACAGUUUGAUUAAAUUAGCACAGAUGCGAAUGCUCCUUGUUAGAGAUGUGCUUGUCACGGCGGGUCAGGCAAGACUCAAAUGCAGUGCCAAUAAAGGGAGGUUUUUUUUACAACACCAGGUGAAAUAUAUACAUAUGUACAGUGAUGAAGGGACAGGGGCUCCAGGGUAAGGUCCAGGGCAGGGGUAACAGUUCACACUCUUCUUCACACUGUCUGUGACUCACUCACACUCAGUCCACUCCCACGCUGAAACUCACUCACACUCAUGCUCAUCCAAAGCAGCAGGUGAGUAAUGAGCAGGUGUGGAGAUAAAGGCGGGGACCAGGAACCAGGCACCAGCUUGGCAGGGAGGAGUGGAGGAAAUAUUUCCUUAAUUUUUCAAUAAUGUUUUUAUUCUCAGCUUAACAUUAUGUAGAAGACACGACUUGCCAUUGCACUGUCCCGUAGGAGCUUUAUUUUCCAGCCACAAUUUGACCAGUGGGACAGUGUUGGAGAUGAUGGUCAGACCAGGAGAAAACAUAACUCUCUACUGUGACUGUAAAACUUCAACUGGAGAAUAUAUAGUGUGGUACAGGAAUUGCUCUCACGAGAAACAACCUUCUCUUGUUCUAACAACAAAGUUUGAGCAAAGACAAUAUAAACCCGGUAUUGAUUACCAAAACCUUCUGAAUCCAUUCCCUAAUUUCCAUCUUGUGAAAAAUUAUUCCUCUCAAUCGUAUGACCUGCUGAUCACAAACAUCACUUUUUCGGAUGAGGGCUUCUACUACUGUGGAACUGAACAGUCUAAGGUGAAGGAAAAAGAAACUAUUAAUCUUGAAUGCCUAUAUAGAUAUGGAAACCUCACCACAAAGAUCCUACUUCACCCCAGUGAGCCUCAAACCACUCAAAAACACUGUGGUACAUGUUGGAUGCUACUCUUCUCUCUGUGUCUAGCUUUUGUGGCCCUCUCAUCCCUGCUAUCUUCUCUUUUGAUAUAUUACCAUCACAAGACAGCUAACAAACCUCCGGCUGAUGAGAAAAGAUAUGAGGGCAGAGACCAGAUAAGAAGAAAUCAGAAUGAAGAUGUGUGUUAUGCAGCACUGGAAAUCCAGCCAGCAUCCCAGAGACCAAAGAAGAGGAUCGCCCAGAGUUCAGAUUUCAGUGCCCACUCUACCAUUGAUAGUUUUCACAUGUAAUGAACUCUUUUUUUUCAGUGUGCUUAUUAAGUAUUGUUGAUAAGUAGUCUGUGCUACCAGAUCUGAAAGAUUAUGAUCUUUGUUUUUUCAAAAUCAAUGUAAGGAAGUGAUUACCUCCACAAGAAUUCUAAUGCUUAGAUAUUUAGAAAUAAUAAAUAUUUACUGUGUUAGCAAAGCUUUUAAAAUUGUGACUCGGUGUUGUAGUCGCUAACUUGGAAAUAUCAUUUUAACUUCUUAAUCCUCCUAUAACAAAUCCUUGGCAUUUAUGUGACCAUUGUAACACAUCUGUGUGCUGUGCUUUAAAACAGUGAAUUUUCAGAUACACUGUAGGCUACAAUAUUUUGAAAAAACCUAAUAAAGUUCAUUAAAAUGUAACCUAUUUUAACUGUGAAUAUUUUGCAUUUCCCUUACUGAUUGACAGCCUACCGUGAAAGAUUA